rnacentral:rRNA from 1 species
CGCAGCCGGUAGCCACUGGAACCCAGCCGCUCCCUUUCUUCUCCGUCGGCUUCUGCCGUCUUCCCGGCGCGCAAUGCUUCGUCUCCCCGCUCUCCUCCCUCUUAAACCCUCGGCCCCGACCACCGGCCUAAACCCCACCCGGCGCAGCCAUGGCCACCGCGGCCCCAAACGCCUCCUCGCUUCCUCCACCACGCCGCCGCCACCGCCGCCGCCGCCGCGACGGACUCCCAAUCCAGCCACGGCCCCGAAACCCCCGAAGCCCGAACCCCGCGCGGGCCCCCAGAAUCCAGAAGGCGCCGCCGCGGAGUUCCCCACAACCAAGCCCCGCAAACCACGCCGCGGUCGCCGAAGCGAGGCGGCCGCCGUGGAGGACUUCGUCCGCGACCGCCUCGAGCAGGUCUUCGCCUCCAUCCAGGAGCGCGACCCCGAGGUCCUCCAAGGCAAAGGCGACAUCUUGAAGCCAAAGGAGGAGGAGGAGCGGGCUUCCGGCGAGGAGCCCGGGGAGGAAGAUGGGGAGCAGAAGACGGUGGUGGAGGAGGAGGACCCGAGCUGGCCACUGGACGCCGACGUCGGGUGGGGGGUCCGGGCGUCGGAGUACUUCGACAAGCAUUCCAUCAAGAACGUGACGGUGGACGGCGUGGAGAUCGAUUGGGAAGGAGAGGUCGACCGGGGCUGGGUCAAGGAGAUCAACUGCUUGGAGUGGGAGAGCUUCGCCUUCCACCCCAGCCCCCUUAUCGUCCUAGUCUUCGAGCGCUACAACAGGGCGGCUGACAAUUGGAGGUUCCUUCAAGAAUUGGAGAAGGCUACUAAGGUAUAUUGGGAUACAAAAGAUCGGCUACCUCCACGGACUGUGAAGAUUGAUCUGAACAUCGAGAGAGACCUGGCAUAUGCACUCCAAGCAAAGGAAUGCCCGCAAUUGCUGUUCUUGAGAGGAAACAAAAUCCUAUACAGAGAAAAAGAGAUAAGAACAGCUGACGAACUAGUUCAAAUGAUUGCCUAUUUCUACUACAAUGCAAAGAGACCAUCAUGUGUCAAUCCCGAAGCCCUUGCUCCUUCAUUCUAAGUUCCUGGAAAGUAUUAUUAAGUUCAUGUUCUGGGAGAAGAGGCUGAGUCUCCAAGUUUGAUGUUACCUGGAUAAGAUGCGAAAGGGGACAUUUUGGAUGCCUAUAGUGGAAAGGGAACUGAGAAAAAUCGUCUCGACGGGUUGUGUCAAGCAAGGAAGGUGUGACAACAAACAUGUAUUUUGAUAUUCAGCAGUCUUUUGUAGUGUAAUUUAGUAUCUAAGAGUAUAUUUCUCAGUUUCUAGUAGUGAUGUUCUAGAUAGGACCAGUGGCGAAGCUAGAAGAUCAGAGGAUUUGGGGUUAGCUACGUGUUUUAAGGUGCAAUUUCCACUAGUGAGCAAUGACAAAGACUAGAUUACUGAAGGAUGUAUGGAUUCCAUUGGGACCAAAUAGCUGUAUACCAGAUUCGCCCUGGAUAGGAAAGUGUUGAGUGACAGCUUCAUCUUCUAAAUGCAUACAGUAUCGAGAUCAUUUACAGAUUAUUAUUUUCCUGGCUAAAAGAAGUCACCAGGACUCCCAGUUCCACUGCUGAAACUGUAUGUUGCAUACAUCACCUAGCCGACCAUUGCAGAUUCAGUUAGAAACUUAUUAAAGUUGACAAGAAUUUACUAAUUGCCCCUUUCCCAUUUGAA